rnacentral:rRNA from 1 species
AUUGAACGCUGGCGGCAGGCCUAACACAUGCAAGUCGAGCGAGCGGCGGACGGGUGAGUAAUGUCUGGGGAACUGCCUGAUGGCGGGGGAUAACUACUGGAAACGGUAGCUAAUACCGCAUACCAUCAGAUGUGCCCAGAUGGGAUUAGCUAGUAGGUGGGGUAAUGGCUCACCUAGGCGACGAUCCCUAGCUGGUCUGAGAGGAUGACCAGCCAAACUGGGACUGAGACACGGCCCAGACUCCUACGGGAGGCAGCAGUGGGGAAUAUUGCACAAUGGGCGCAAGCCUGAUGCAGCCAUGCCGCGUGUAUGAAGAAGGCCUUCGGGUUGUAAAGUACUUUCAGCGGGGAGGCGUUACUCGCAGAAGAAGCACCGGCUAACUCCGUGCCAGCAGCCGCGGUAAUUC